rnacentral:rRNA from 1 species
AUACGAAGGGGGCUAGCGUUGCUCGGAAUCGACUGGGCGUAAAGCGCACGUAGGCGGCUUUCUAAGUCAGGGGUGAAAUCCUGGAGCUCAACUCCAGAACUGCCUUUGAUACUGGAGAGCUUGAGUUCGGGAGAGGAGAGUGGAACUGCGAGUGUAGAGGUGAAAUUCGUAGAUAUUCGCAAGAACACCAGUGGCGAAGGCGGCUCACUGGCCCGAUACUGACGCUGAGGUGCGAAAGCGUGGGGAGC